rnacentral:rRNA from 1 species
CGCGGCCUAUCAGCUUGUUGGUGGGGUAGUGGCCUACCAAGGCGACGACGGGUAUCCGGCCUGAGAGGGUGACCGGCCACACUGGGACUGAGACACGGCCCAGACUCCUACGGGAGGCAGCAGUGGGGAAUAUUGCGCAAUGGGCGAAAGCCUGACGCAGCGACGCCGCGUGGGGGAUGACGGCCUUCGGGUUGUAAACCCCUUUCAGGAGGGAAGAAAAUGACGGUACCUCCCCAAGAAGCCCCGGCCAACUACGUGCCAGCAGCCGCGGUAAUACGUAGGGGGCAAGCGUUGUCCGGAAUUAUUGGGCGCAAAGAGCUCGUAGGCGGCUCAGCAAGUCGGCUGUGAAAUCCCGAGGCUCAACCUCGGAACUGCAGUCGAUACUGUUGUGGCUAGAGUCUGGUAGAGGAGAAUGCAAUUCCCCGGUGUACCGCCGAAAUGCGCAGAUAUCCGGAGGAACACCCGUAGCCCAGCGGGCUCUCCUGGGUCCGUACUGACUUCGACGAGCGAAAGCGUGUCGAUCCAACAGAAUUUCCAUACCCUGGUAGUCCACGCCGUAAACGUCGGGUACUCAGGUGUGGCCUCUCGAUCCACGGACGCCCGCGUCGACGCUAACGCCUUAAGUACCCCGCCUGGGGAGUACGG